CAAGUCGAACGGUCUCUUCGGAGAUAGUGGCGGACGGGUGAGUAACGCGUGAGAAUCUGGCUUCAGGUCGGGGACAACCACGGGAAACUGUGGCUAAUACCGGAUAUGCCGAGAGGUGAAAGGCUUGCUGCCUGAAGAUGAGCUCGCGUCUGAUUAGCUAGUAGGUGUGGUAAAAGCGCACCUAGGCGACGAUCAGUAGCUGGUCUGAGAGGAUGAUCAGCCACACUGGGACUGAGACACGGCCCAGACUCC
rnacentral:rRNA from 1 species